GUGGGGAAUCUUGCGCAAUGGGCGAAAGCCUGACGCAGCAACGCCGCGUGGGGGAUGAAGGCUCUCGGGUUGUAAACCCCUUUCAGCAGGGACGAAUCAAGACGGUACCUGCAGAAGAAGCCCCGGCUAACUACGUGCCAGCAGUCGCGGUAACACGUAGGGGGCAAGCGUUGUCCGGAUUUAUUGGGCGUAAAGAGCUCGUAGGUGGCUGAGUAAGUCGGAUGUCAAAUCCCCAGGCUCAACCUGGGAUCCCAUCCGAUACUGCUCUGGCUAGAGUCCGGUAGGGGAGCGUGGAAUUCCUGGUGUAGCGGUGAAAUGCGCAGAUAUCAGGAGGAACACCAGCGGCGAAGGCGGCGCUCUGGGCCGGUACUGACACUGAGGAGCGAAAGCGUGGGUAGCAAACAGGAUUAGAUACCCGGGUAGUCC
rnacentral:rRNA from 1 species